rnacentral:tRNA from 1 species
GCUGAUGUGGCUCAGGGGUAGAGCACACCCUUGGUAAGGGUGAGGUCGUGAGUUCGAUUCUCACCAUCAGCACCA